rnacentral:rRNA from 1 species
AUACGUAGGGGCCAAACGUUGUCCGGAUUUAUUGGGCGUAAAGGGCUCGUAGGCGGUUUAACAAGUCGGUCGUGAAAACCCGGGGCUCAACCCCGGGACGCCGGUCGAAACUGUUAUGACUAGGGUCCGGUAGAGGUGAGUGGAAUUCUCGGUGUAGCGGUGGAAUGCGCAGAUACCGAGAGGAACACCAGUAGCGAAGGCGGCUCACUGGGCCGGUACCGACGCUGAGGAGCGAAAGCAUGGGGAGCAAACAGGAUUAGAAACCCCUGUAGUCC